GCUACAUUGAACGUGCAACGUUUGCGUAACGUACGCGGAGCAUAUGUGCUGCAGAAUGUAUCUUUUAACUGGCUACACCUGCUGCACACACACGGCAUAGGUUUGUGCGAGUCACAGGCAAGACGGAGAGCUUUUGCUUUGGGAUUGUUGUUGUUCCUUCAGUUUUUG